CCAACGUAGCACCCAGUACCUCCUGGCUCUGCUGAAGUGGCGCUCGGGAGCUCAGUGUCCCUCGGGACGCCAUGAGGCACAUUCCCCUUCCACGACGUUGGAGAGCAAGUCUGUCCCCGGCGCCUUCGGGCGCUGGCGUGGACGGAGCCUGGCAUAUCCGUGCUGCUUCCCAGAGUCACUUCGACACUGACUGGGGGGACUGACCAUGCAAGGAACACCU
rfam:Branchiostoma floridae genomic scaffold BRAFLscaffold_109, whole genome shotgun sequence.